UUCAUUUCGUUCCAGCAGCCAUGGAGAGAAGAAGGUAAUGGCCAAAACCCUAACUCCCACUUCCAUCCACCAUAACUUCUUCAUCCGAGCUCCAAUCGCCGCACCGUUUGCGGCCACGUGUCCGCAGUGACGAGCUCUACAAAGCCCGGUACCUUUCAAGGAUCAAAUUGAGUUGAGGAAUGAGUGGACUUUGGUUUGAUUGAGGCACAUACAAGGUGUAUAAUUGUAUAUGUUGGAGCUUGAAUUGUGAGCAUUGGAACUUUGUGGAGGUUGGGUACUUGAGCUUUGAUGAUUUUGGGGACUUGAGGGGCUGUGUUAGUUGGUGUUUUGCCUUGGACAAUACGCAGAAAUCGGCCAAGAUGCAGGUCGAGAGGCUCCUCGCUAGGCGUCUGUAUUCUUGAAGCGGAGUAGUUCCUGGGAUAUUUUGGUUUGACAGCUUAUGUAUAUAUGUACUUAGUCACUUAGCUUUCUCUCCAAAAAACUUGAUUAUUUUGUUCCUCAUAGAGGUUACAGGAGAGUUAGGACUUUAUUUCUGUAUUUUGGGUAUUUUGGGAUACCUGUAUAUAUAUGUAAAUAUUCUCCGGCCAACCUUGGCUUCGCAAGCUGAGUCAGGAGCUAGUUCAUUGUAUUCUUGACUCUCUUUUCGUUCUUCUGCUUAUUUAUAUCUAUAACCUUUAGGUUUUUUAGCA